rnacentral:rRNA from 1 species
GGGGGGGGGGGGGGGGGGGCGGGGCGGAUGCAGGGCGGGGGGGGGCUUGGGGGCGAGGGGCGCACGGGUGCGGCGCGCGGGGGAGCCUGCCCGUAGGGUCGGCAUACCUCCCCUGAAGGGUUGCUCCUACCGGAUAAUGUCUUCGGCCCAAAGAUGUCACGCCUUUGGGUGGGCCCGCGUUGGAUUGCGUGCUUGGUAGGGUAACAGCCGAACAAGGCGACGCCACCUGGCUGGUCUGAGAGACUGAUCAGCCACACUGGGACUGAGACACGGCCCAGACUCCUACGGGAGGCAGCAGUGGGGAAUAUUGGACAAUGGGCGAAAGCCUGAUCCAGCAAUGCCGCGUGAGUGAUGAAGGCCUUAGGGUUGUAAAGCUCUUUUACCCGGGAUGAUAAUGACAGUACCGGGAGAAUAAGCUCCGGCUAACUCCGUG